rnacentral:rRNA from 1 species
UACAGAGGUCCCAAGCGUUGUUCGGAUUCACUGGGCGUAAAGGGUGCGUAGGUGGCCAGGUAAGUUUGGUGUGAAAGCUCGGAGCUUAACUCCGAAAAGUCAUUGAAUACUAUCUGGCUGGAGGGUCGGAGGGGAGACUGGAAUUCUCGGUGUAGCAGUGAAAUGCGUAGAUAUCGAGAGGAACACCAGUGGCGAAGGCGAGUCUCUGGACGACUCCUGACACUGAGGCACGAAAGCUAGGGGAGCAAACAAG